AUUGAACGCUGGCGGCAGGCUUAACACAUGCAAGUCGAGCGGGGGAGGUUGCUUCGGUAACUGACCUAGCGGCGGACGGGUGAGUAAUGCUUAGGAAUCUGCCUAUUAGUGGGGGACAACAUUCCGAAAGGAAUGCUAAUACCGCAUACGCCCUACGGGGGAAAGCAGGGGAUCUUCGGACCUUGCGCUAAUAGAUGAGCCUAAGUCGGAUUAGCUAGUUGGUGGGGUAAAGGCCUACCAAGGCGACGAUCUGUAGCGGGUCUGAGAGGAUGAUCCGCCACACGGGGACUGAGGCACGGCCCAGACUCCUACGGGAGGCAGCAGUAGGGAAUAUUGGACAAUGGGCGGAAGCCUGAUCCAGCCAUGCCGCGUGUGUGAAGAAGGCCUUUUGGUUGUAAAGCACUUUAAGCGAGGAGGAGGCUCUUAAGGUUAAUACCCUUGAUGAGUGGACGUUACUCGCGGAAUAAGCACCGGCUAACUCUGUGCCAGCCGCCGCCGUAACAC
rnacentral:rRNA from 1 species